AUGCCUUUGUUAUCUCACUUCUUGACCUCAAACUUUGUCCAUAAAUUAUUUCAUCACUUUCCCGAGCUCCACCAAAAUCUCAAGAUAUCUGGACCUUCCUCACCCACUUUCUAUCCAGACCCAUUUGAAUUAAGUUCAAAUGAGUUUGGAUUUAGAUUGCCAAAACCUCUUCCAACCAUUUUUGUUAAAUCCUUCAUAUUUUCUUGGUCCAGGGAAAAUAUCUCAGUUGGUCUAAUUCUUUUUCUAACCCUCUCUUUCUUUUCUCCAAAGUUCUGUUUACUUUAUAAAUGGAAGAUCAAUUAG
rnacentral:rRNA from 1 species